UGGGGAAUAUUGGACAAUGGGCGAAAGCCUGAUCCAGCCAUGCCGCGUGUGUGAAGAAGGUCUUCGGAUUGUAAAGCACUUUAAGUUGGGAGGAAGGGCAGUAAGCGAAUACCUUGCUGUUUUGACGUUACCGACAGAAUAAGCACCGGCUAACUCUGUGCCAGCAGCCGCGGUAAUACAGAGGGUGCAAGCGUUAAUCGGAAUUACUGGGCGUAAAGCGCGCGUAGGUGGUUCGUUAAGUUGCAUGUGAAAGCCCCGGGCUCAACCUGGGAACUGCAUCCAAAACUGGCGAGCUAGAGUAGGGCAGAGGGUGGUGGAAUUUCCUGUGUAGCGGUGAAAUGCGUAGAUAUAGGAAGGAACACCAGUGGCGAAGGCGACCACCUGGGCUCAUACUGACACUGAGGUGCGAAAGCGUGGGGAGCAAACAGG
rnacentral:rRNA from 1 species